rnacentral:lncRNA from 1 species
CAAGAUAUCGGGGCCCUCUCCCCGUGCUCGCCCCUCGUCCUGGCAUCCAACUUCAGGCCUUGCCUCCUCUCUGCCCUUUUUCUCCUCUUCACGUCCUGCUGAUGGAUCUCUCCCACGUGAAUUCUUAGCACCUGCAGAUAUACACAUUGAUCUGGAAAAAGUCUUUAUGCAUUGCCAUCGAUUUUAAAGACAUCGACAACAGCAAGCUCGAACUCUAACACGGUGUAACAAUAGCUCCAGCUCACAGAAUACGCCAGCCCCCCAGAGGAAUCCUGAGCCCUUCACAAGCCCUUUUCUGUGCAGGCAACUGUUGCCCUCAAUUCUAGGGAAAGGAAGACGGAGUGAAGCCAAUGUUUGUUUUGGGAUGAAGGGUGAUGAAGAGCUGAGGCGGGGGCAUGCCUACUUGAGAGAGUAGGAGAGAGGAGUUAACAUUUUGAAGUAAUUGGUGAAUGCAUCUUCUGUCAUUCUUAGGAACCACCCCCAUUGUCCCCAGUUGGGCCAGGAGUGAAGGGGGACAAGGAGAAGUGGACAGCAGGUGCACCAUGCCAGUGUUGGGUACACUCAGGGCUUGGCUUAGCACCCCAGAAGACAUGAGUGCAGAGCGUCUCCUGCAACUUCCCGGCCCCCAGUGGUCUCUGGCCUGUCCCUGUCCCAUCCCUACCACUCCUCCCCAUCCUCAUCAGCACCAAUUUACUUCUCCCCUUCAGGACGCUUCUCCUAAAAGCUUGAGGGGUGUCACUCUCAGAAGCUGGGGACUAGGUGACCAAGGACCCCUUGGCCCCCUUCCCUACCCGCCCUCCUUGCCUCUUCAACCUAGUCUUUUAGUUUCUGCCUUGGAGAGGCCCCAUCCCUCUUUCUGGGCUGGGCCCUCCUGUUUGUAAUCCUUCUGACCCUCUGCCAGCCUGCAGCUCUGGCUGGCCCACUUGCUUUAUUCUCUGGCUCUUGGUCUCACAGGAAGUGACUUGCCCAUCUUUAGGCCCAGCUGCCUCCCCUGUAGCCCACCUAUCACCCUGUAGACCCUUCUGCAGCAUUCUCCACUUGGCCUUACUCCCCACUUCUCCUUUUAUUCUCUUUCUUCAUGUCCCUUUAGAGUGUUUGGACACCUGCUUUCCUCAGCCCAGCGGUGGUUCUCUUCCUCGUGCAGCAGCCCCUUGGCUGACCUGUCUCACGAACAGCCAGAAUGAAUUAUUUAUUAGCAGGAGCCAGCAAGUGGACUGGCUGCAUAAAACCACCAGCGAGGGUGUGGUGACCUGUUUCAGUAUCUCUUAUUCAUGCACUGAGCUAUUUUUCCAACUUGCUAGAAUCCCACC